GUAGGUGAACCUGCGGAAGGAUCAUUAACACGUAUAACGUUUUAACCAAUCCCUCAACCCCUCUGUAAACUAAAAACAAUUCUAAACCUAAAUCCUGAUUGCGUUUCACGACGUGGUUAGGUCGCUCCAGCUUAACUCUCUGGGUUAAGCGUGCGUCUCAUUCACGUGAGAUGGCAGGGCGUCACCAACAAAACCCUUGACUCUUAUUACUGAAACCCCCCCUAACUUAGGGCCAUUCGCGUGGUCCUGGUUAACAAAAAUACAAAAACAACUCUUAACAACGGAUAUCUUGGUUCUC
rnacentral:misc_RNA from 1 species